AACGAACGCUGGCGGCAGGCUUAACACAUGCAAGUCGAGCGCCCCGCAAGGGGAGCGGCAGACGGGUGAGUAGCGCGUGGGAACGUACCCUCUGGUUCGGAACAACUCCGGGAAUCUGGAGCCAAUACCGGAUAAGCCCUAACGGGGAAAGAUUUAUCGCCCAAAGAUCGGCGCGCGUCAGAUUAGCUGGUUGGUGAGGUAACGGCACACCAAGGCGACGAUCAGUAGCUGGUCUGAGAGGAUGAUCAGCCACACUGGGACUGAGACACGGACUAGACUCCUACGGAAGGGAGGAGUAGGGAAUAUUGGACAAUGGGGGCAAGCCUGAUAAAGCCAUGCCGGGUGAGUGAUGAAGGCCGUAGGGUUGUAAAGCUCUUUUGUCCGAGAAGAUAGUGACUGUACCGGAAGAAUAAGCCCCGGCUAACUUCGUG
rnacentral:rRNA from 1 species